UUCUCAUAAUGUACUCUGCAUAUAAGAUAAAUAGCAGGGUAACAAUAUACAGCCUUGACAUACUCCUUUUCCUAUUUGGAACCAGUGUGUCUCAUGUCCAGUUCUAACUGUUGCUUUUUACUUCUACAGUGGAGCACGUUUUUCCAUAACUCUCCACCGUGACCCGUCCAUCUUGGGUGGCCCUACACAGCAUGGCUCAUGGUUUCAUUGAGUUAGACAAGGCUGUGGUCCAUAUGAUUAGUUUUCUGUGAUUGUGGUUUUCAUUCUGUUUGCCCUCUGAUGGAGAAGGAUAAGAGGCUUAUGGAAGCUUCCUGAUGGGAGAGGCUGACUGAGGGGGAAACUGGGUCUUGUUCUGAUGGGCUGGGCCAUACCCAGUCCAUCUUUAAUCUGAUUUUCUGUUGAUGGGUGGGGCUGUGUUACCUCUCUGUUGUUUGAGCUGAGGCCAAACUAUGGUGGAGGUAAUGAAGAUAACGGCAGCCUCCUUCAAAAGUUCCUGUGCACACACUGCUUUACUCAGUGCCCCAACCCUGUAGCAGGCCCCUGCCGACCCAGGCAUCCACCGUAGACUCCUGGACGCUCACCAGCAAGUCUGAGUCAGUCUCUUCUGGGGCCACUGCUCGUUCCUCUUGGGUCCUGGUGCACACAAGGUUUUCUUUGUGCCGUCCGAGAGUCUGUUUUUCCAGUCCUGUGUAAGUUCUGGCGGCUCUGUUGUGGGGUUAAUAGUGACCUCCACGAGUGCUUAUGCUAUACCUAGAUCUGCUGAAUCCAGAGCCCCUGCCCCAGCGGUAGGCCCCUGCUGAUCCAUGCCUCCACUGGAGACACUCAAACUCAAAGGCAGGUCUGGCUCAGACUCUGGCAUCCCUGGUGAGCCCAAGGUUUUGUUUGGGCCCCUCAAGCAUCUCUGGCAGGUAUGGGGUUUGAUUCUAAAUGCAAUUUCGCCCCUCCAGCCAUCUUGCUGGAGCUUCUCCUUGGAUGUGGAGUUUCCUUUUUUGGUGGGAUCCUUCAUUCUCUUGUCAAUGGUUGUCUAGUAGCGAGUUGUAAUUUUGGAGUUCAGAGGAGAAGAUGAGCGCCUGACCAUCUGCUCUUCCAUCUUGGAUCUGCCAUUACAGUUGGUGUUUAUGCAGUGAGUUUUUGGGCAUAGGUAUAUCUAGAUUGUCUCCAUGUCUUUAGAUUGUUAGAUUCUCAUAGGAAAAGAUUAGAUUGUAUACUUUAACAAAGAAAAAUGACCAAAGGAUUUUAUUUUUAUCUUCAGGAAGAAAGGAAGACAUUAAAAGGGAAUUGGCAUUUAAGUCAUAACUAUUUUCAUAGCUAACAUAAAGUAAUGGUUAUUUUGCUAUACUAUAUAAACAUACUGGUUGAGAAUUUAUAUCCAUAUACAAACAUACUGUAAAUGUAUAUACAUACAUAUGUAAAAUUAGUUGUAGGGAUAUAGAUAGGAUAAUUUCUUUUUAAACAUCUAUUCAUUGCUUUACUUUUUUUCUUUUUAGGGAAAAAAUGGAAAUAGAAUUUCAGUUAUAAGCUUAAAUGUGUAGAAACCUGCUUCAUUUAUAUCUAAACAGAUGUUAAUAUUUCCAUAUAUACUUCUGUGAGAACAGAAUUUCUGUGAUUUUGAGGGUUUUUUUCUGAGAGCUUUUGAAAGUUUUCUGGUGGGUAGUUAAAUUUGUAUAUUAUAAUCAGUAACUAAUGUCAGGAGUAUUCUCAAUUGCCUAUAAUGCAAAUAAUGAAAAUUUGUUAGAGGGAUCAUUUGUUUAUCUUAUUUUUUGUAGCAGUUUGGCAAUGACAAUCAAAAUUUGAAUAUGUAAAACUUUUGAAAUGAUAAAACUUGCUGAUGGGAUUUUACCUGUUACUGUUCUCAAAUUCAUAAAGAAGAAAAUAUGUUAGAGAUUGUAACAUAAUUUGAAUGUCUGAAAUAUGCAUCAUUAAAAGAAGAAUUGUAAUGGUAGCUUAUUUGUAUGACUGUCAUUGAAACACUGAAAAAGUAUUCUGAUAUUGAAUGUUUUAAGUUGAUUCUUUUAAAUGUCAUUUUUGAACAGAUAACAACUAAAUGUGUAUGCUGAGAUAUGUCCAUAUGCCUCUGUUUUUUCUAUUUGAAAUAUUAAUGGUUACUGUUCCUAAGGAGGGGGUUUAUUCCGACAUAAUAGAAUUAAAUAAUGCUUAUUCAGUAGUGUUAACUAUAUUGGUGAUAUUUUAGCAUUCUUUUUGAAACUUUUGCACAUGUGUAAGUUCAGUACUAAAACAUAUGUUGCUACAUGACAAUGUAAAAGUGCAGAUGUGAAUUAUGGAAUAGAAAGUUGUCUGGAAAAUCAUAGCGAAAAUUUAACAUUACUAUAUAAACAUACCAGGAAAAAAGGGACAGCUGCUAUUUACUGCCUUUAAAUUUUUAAAUGUAUUUCAAAAGCAACAUCAAACAACCGAAGGAACUUAAAAGAUACAGCCAAUUUGUACUUGUCUUCAUUGUUACCUGUUGACAUUUUUGGAGUGUUGGGCUGUUGUAUCCAGCUUUGUAUUCCCAGUGACUGUUACGCAUAGUUUUUGAGUGAUCAUGAAGACUGUGUGACCUAGAUACUAGUGCGGCAGAGAGUUUUAAACAGUGAAUUAAAGAAUAUUUGAUUACCCUUGGAAAGAAGGGAGAAGAUGGGAUUUCAGGUAAAUAUGGUGAAAGAAAAACAUAACAUGCAGAUAAUCUGAGGAUAUCUGAGAUCAUCAGGAACAUUCUUCCAGUGGAGUUCCUUAAUUUAUAAAUCUCAACUGUAAACCACAAGUAAGACGGUUCUGGAUCAAGAAACGCUGUAUUAGGACAAGAUUUUGGCUAGGCUCAAGAAAAUAACACUGGUGCAGACUUUGUUCUUGUACAGCUUGGAAUUAGCAGCUAUUCCUGAGAAUCAUGUGUCCUCUCAAGUGAUGACUACAUAGGAAAACUGAUACCAUUGAUUCUGCUACCAUCUUCCAUAAAACCAAAAAAUAGUCUUCAUAAUGUAUGGCAAUUCCUCAUUAUUGUAUUGCAACAGACACUCCCUGUAGAUCAGAAAAACAGGCUGAGAAGGCUCAAAUUUAAAGGGUGAUAUUGGAGAGAAUUGUAACCAGGCAUGUGGACUGUUUUCAUUGUUGCUAUUGGACUGAAUCUCAGGAGCUUGAAUGAUGGAGACAGUGUUAUGCCCAGGACCUUGUAAUGUCAAAGCUUCGUUUCAUUGCUCCCAAAAGUAUUAUUGCAUAUAUUUAAAAUUUUCAUUUAUCACAGGGAAAUUUAAAAUUGAUUCAUAAAAAAUCACAAUUUUCAAGAUUUAAAAGGAUAUGGAAAAUUUUAAGUGUAACAUUUUACUUCUUAAAUGCUGUUUUUCCUCCUCUGAUUCUGCCACCUCUGUCUAUGUUAUCUACUUAUUGAUGACAUUUUGUGCAUAUCUUAUGGUUUUAUUGAUCAGUUAACACUCACGGCAUUUUGGGGGAUCUGUAUAUACUAGCCACAGAUUUUUCUAUGCAGUAAGCAUUGUUUAUAUGUGAAUUGUAAAUUUAUCCAACUAAUUUGUUGAAAUAAUUCCAAUGAAACUAUGAAGACUGAUACCCAAAAUUUAUAGGUUCAAGUCCAAAGUAAAAUAGAUUUUCCUCUAUUAUAUAGACAGGAUUUCAUCAAUCUUACCUACAAGUGUUUAUAUGGAUAUAUUUCCUAAAACUGUAUAAAUGUUACAUUUUUAUUCUUUGGCAAUAUGAUGUUACAAAGAAAUUGCCUCUUCUUCUGUUACUGUUGAGCCUGUCAUUUUCAUAUAUGCUUAGUCCUUACCAGUCUCUUGCAUUAUUUCAUUUUGCUCUUUUUUUUUUCCUUUUCAUUUUCCUUGGUAUGUCAAUGUCUUAGUGUAGUGCAAAUGAAAUAACAUAUUUUAUUGCUGUCAAUUUACUGUGUUUUGUAUUUUGGUUGUAUAUUAAAAUAUAAUCAUACUA